rnacentral:rRNA from 1 species
UACGAAGGGUGCAAACGUUGCUCGGAAUCAUUGGGCGUAAAGCGCACGUAGGCGGCUUUGUAAGUCGGAUGUGAAAUCCCUCGGCUUAACCAAGGAAGUGCAUCCGAAACUGCAAGGCUUGAGUACUUAAGAGGAUCGCGGAAUUCCCGGUGUAGAGGUGAAAUUCGUAGAUAUCGGGAGGAACACCAGUGGCGAAGGCGGCGAUCUGGGAAGAUACUGACGCUGAGGUGCGAAAGCGUGGGGAGCAAACAGGG